UGGCAACCAGUUAAGCCAACCAGGUUCCUUUACUCUCAGGGAUGGCUUUGCAGUGAUUUCGAACACCCCCCUCCUUGGUAGCCUAUUUCCUAUAUGGACUGACCUAAGGUAACUUGGAGACAAUG
rnacentral:snoRNA from 1 species